rnacentral:tRNA from 1 species
GGUAGUAGCUCAGUUGGUAGAGCAUGAGCUUCCCAAGCUCAGGGUCGCGGGUUCGAACCCCGUUUAC